UGUGUACACUAAUACUGUAUUGGGUUAAGAAAAGAGCGGCUAACACUUCUGCAGACCCCUCACAUCCUGGACACAAUCGGUGUCAGUGUAUUGCUCAAACCUUCAGGGGCAGCGGCCACAGACGCAUGUCUUCUGGAUGGGCUGUACUGAAAUAAAGUUGAUUGUGUUUUGGUACAGUAACGAUAAAAGCAUUCUGCUUCUGAUUACAUUUAAUGUCUGUACACUGCGAGCAAAUAAAGCAGAGGUUAAAUUCC